AUUUAUUCGUUCAUGUAAUUUUAUUUAAAAAAAGUUGUCUUGAGAAUCAUUUCAAACAUUUUAACCUCUUUCAUACAUGACAUACUACCUCCCCCAACUCUAUUACAAAUUUUGAAACUUUAUUUUUUACUGUGAUGUCACGAAAAAAUAAUAAGUCAUGUCCAGUCACAAAAAAGGCUAGAAAAGAUCUUUACAGAGGCGUUUCAGUAGCUUUAUUGCUUGAAAUGAGAGUAAACAGGCGAACCGCCUCGUCUCGGGACUGUGACUUGGCUUUAGUCUGAAUAAGAGAUGGAAAUGGCCGGUAUUUUGCGUGGCCGGCCUGGUGGCUCCGCGGGCCGAACCAUCGGACACUUCUAAAGUUCAGAGAGAAAAUUGGCUCCUGGAGAGUCUUGUGAGUUAUAGUCGAGCCCCGAGCCUCCCCAUCAGUCUGAGACCUAAGCCCCGGGUGAAGCUCUCAUGCUGUCGGGGUGAGUUUGUGCAAGUGGCUGUUCUCUACCACGCUGGCCGUUUUGGGGGGCUCCAUUUUCGGGGCCUUCCAAAACAGGGCAAAUGGGGGGUUUAAGACCUUUAUAACUGCAUAGAUCGGAAUUCAAUUCUAAAAAGCAGCCCCUUAUACCACUGUGACACCUGCAGGACAGGUGUGGCACUAGCAGUGAAAGAGAGGUGCAGUCCUAACUAGGAGCGACAGGGGUCUCUCUCCAGCACAUUUCUCUUGAUUCGACCAGCUGGCCGCAAGCUAAACGAGUCCGGCGAACAGUUUUGUAGGGGAAUGUCACUGAAUUGGGUUCUCUGAAAAUCCUUAGCCGUUAAAUACUAAAUUUAUGAUUUGGUGAGUUCAAGUUUCUAUUUAUCUUCAGUAGCGUGAGUGUUGAGCCCUUGUAACCGAGUGCACAGCUGUCAUUCAGGAGCCGAGCCCGCCCCCAGAGUGACCUUCCUCAGCGGACACGCCCCGUCCACCUGUUCCACAGGUGCGCCCGGCAAGAUGGCGGCGGGGUGAGUUUCUGCGGCGUGAGGACGCUGAAAUGAGUGUACUGUUUGAGCGUGCUCUCGAAGGUUUAGAAGUCUGCGGUCCCAUCCUAUCUUUCAUGUGAGAAAAACAUGUCAAGAACGAACCUCCAGUUAUGAAAGUGUUUUUCCAAGGACGCCGAAAUGAGUGUCCUGUCUGUUUGAGCGUGCUCUCGAAGUUGUAAAAGUCUGCAUUCAGCGUUCUUAUACUACCUUUCAUGUGACAAAGGGAUUUCAAAAACCGGCCUCCAGUUAGAUUUUUUUUUCCGAGUUCUUCGGUUCCUGCUGCUCUGCGCUCCGACGAUCUCCUUUCCAAUCCACUCCAGCAACUCGACGAGCGUUGGCAGGUUCUUCUUGACAAUGUGUGCUUUUUCUUGAACUUUAUUUUGAUACCCGUGGCUUGAUCUGUAAUGUACCCUUUGUAUACCGAUAUAUAUUAUUGUUAACCUGCAUGUUUCAUGUUGACUGCUGCUAUUGUAUGUGCUGCGGCUCCUGGUUCUCUGUGUUCCGACGAUCUCCGGCAAUUUAUUCUUGACAAUGUGUGCUUUUCCUUGAUUUUUUUUUUGUAUCGGUGGCUUGAUCUGUAGUGUACCCUUUGUAUACCGAUUUAUGUUAUUGUUAACGUGCAUGUUUCCUGUUGACUGAUGUUAUUGUAUGUGCUGCAGCUCCGGCAAUUUAUUCUUGACAAUGUGUGCUUUUCUUGCUUUUUAUUUUUGUUACCAGUGGCUUGAUCUGUAAUGUCCCGAUUCAGUGCUGUAUUUUAUUCUUGACCUGCAUGUUUUCUGUUGACUGCUGCUAUUGUAUGUGGUGUGAAUUCUGCAAUAAAAACUCUCGUUUCAUUGUC